CUCUGUGAAAUCUAUUCAGGUAGAGCUUUGAUGUAGUCUUCAGUUGAAGGCAGAGCACUGGCUAAAGACAGCUGAGUCGUGAGGUGAAGUAUGAUAUUCACUCUCAACUAAACUCCGAAUGUCAGCUGAAGCAUAGCAGACAGACUACGGGUGUCAACAUCAGCCGCCAAGAGGGAAACAACCCAGAUCGCAGUUUAAGGUGCCCAAGUCGUAGUUACGUGUAGAAGGUCGUGCAAAGCCAAGACAGCCGGGAGGUUGGUUUACAAGCAGCUCAUUGAAAGGAAAGCGUAACAUCUAAAUGCGCUUGCUUGCGCCGAAGAUGUAAUGGGGCUCACGCCUUCAAGCUGCACGCAAGACGCGAGUUUGUGUUCCGCCGAAGAAAGUAUUGGAG
rnacentral:ncRNA from 1 species